UUAGUUUUAAUUCCAUUCAAUUUAAUUCAGGUUUUAAAAUUUUGGACAAAAUUUAUAAUUUAGGUCAUUUUGAGUUUAGAUCACUUCGAGUUCAAGUUAUUUUGAAUUCAAGACAUUCAAGUUUGAGGGUUAGAUUUUUCUUGUCAAGUCAUUUUAAGCUUAUAUAGCUUCAAGUUUUGAUCACCUCAAGUUCUAGGAGUUUUGGGUUCAAGAUAUUUCUAGGUUUGGAAUGUUUCAAGUUUGAAUAGUUUUCAAUUCAAGUCAUUUCAUGUGAGGUGUGCCUCGCAUUUAUCAGACGCUUUGCAAGCACCUAUUGGAGAUAGACGCAUGACAUCAUGACGGAGAUGACACAACGAGCAAAGGACGACGUCACGAUGAAAGUCAUUGGGACGAGGUGAUGAUCUCUUGAGGCAGGAGUAGAGACGACAUCAUGACGAUAUCUCACCUAAUGUAGCCGCCUUUUUUACUCCAAGCAGGACUUCUUCUCCUGGUUGAACUCUAAUUACUUUAGGGUUAUUUUAGUCAUUUGAACCCUUAAUAUUGAGUCUAUUUAAAGGGCCUUUGUACCCCGGAGUCAAACAUUACAAUCAGCAAUGACUUUUAUAGUUGCAAAUGAGGUUUAGUGACAGUUUUCAUAGUACUUAUGGAGAGAAUUUUGUACCUAUUUUGAGAGAAUUCUAUGAGAGUUAGGAUUUUGUUUUCAAGGUUUGAGUUUGUAGGUUUAGUAUAUUUAAGUUUAUUUUCUUCACAUUAUAUUCUCGUUUGUUU
rnacentral:lncRNA from 1 species